CAAAAUUCUUUCUUACCAAUGGCUUUAUUAUUCCCUGCAACCUAUAUGACCUUUGAAAUACCAUAAAAGCUCAAUGAAGAGCCACUUGAAAAGAAAAAAGAAACAGAGCUUGUCAGAGCACUGGUGGGGGGAUAGUCUCCCUGAUUGUUUACCCUGCCUGUUUUCUGUUCAUAGAAAUGAAUAGAAAAUGAGCUAUUUAUACCUGGAUGAUACAAAAUAUGUGGGAGGAAAUUUUGAGAAAGUAUAUGGCAAUUACAGAAUGUCUGUCAUUGAGCUGCUGCUGAUAACGUCUAGGAGAAUUUUGCUCUAGACAUCAGUGACAGCAAUACGUCUGUCAAUGAGUACAGUGCAUGUCUUCUCUCCAACAGAAAAGAAAGGAAGUGCUUAUCGCAACAGUGCCAUCCUCCUCCCAGAAAGUUGAUUCUCCAAGUUUGGACUGCAAUGCUGAAUGUUACUGUGUGUAACCCCUCUGUGAAGACUUAGAAGGCAAGAUAGGUGUUAUCUCUGCAGCUGGGAGUGCCAGGUCCUUUCGCUGGAUGUUUUCCAGUGACCUUUGGAGUCCCUGCAGGGAGUGAGGGGCCCUAUCUCACGUCACCCGCCAGUGGUUCCAUGAGAGUUGAUGCUGCCCCAUCAGCCUGCCACAUGGUCAGUCUGGCAGUGAAAUCGCUCUGCAGCAGGGUCAACAUGCUGCAGAUGGGUAUUUCAGCACAGUAUUCCAACCUAUACCCCCAAGAUCAUGUCCACAGUACAAACAAGGACUGGUUAGAAAGGAUGAUAAAGCCUAAGCCAUGCUGUACCAUCUUCUUUUUAAAAAUCCUUUGAGGUCCAUAAAAAGUUAUGUCUAAGUCAGUGGUAAGGUUUUUCAUUACUUAAGUGGCCUUUCCAAAAUGUAUUAACUCAUCUUUGUAAAUGUACCUUCUGAAAACCAGAAGAUUGGAGAUUGACUUUUUUUGGUCUCCUUGCAUGUUGCCAAAGUUGUGGUUACCCCAGUAAACUACCUGUUGCAUUAAAAGCGUAUGUAUG
rnacentral:lncRNA from 1 species